rnacentral:rRNA from 1 species
AUUGAACGCUGGCGGCAGGCCUAACACAUGCAAGUCGAACGGUAACAGGAAACAGCUUGCUGUUUCGCUGACGAGUGGCGGACGGGUGAGUAAUGUCUGGGAAACUGCCUGAUGGAGGGGGAUAACUACCGGAAACGGUAGCUAAUACCGCAUAACGUCGCAAGACCAAAGAGGGGGACCUUCGGGCCUCUUGCCAUCGGAUGUGCCCAGAUGGGAUUAGCUAGUAGGUGGGGUAACGGCUCACCUAGGCGACGAUCCCUAGCUGGUCUGAGAGGAUGACCAGCCACACUGGAACUGAGACACGGUCCAGGCUCCUACGGGAGGCAGCAGUGGGGAAUAUUGCACAAUGGGCGCAAGCCUGAUGCAGCCAUGCCGCGUGUAUGAAGAAGGCCUUCGGGUUGUAAAGUACUUUCAGCGGGGAGGAAGGGAGUAAAGUUAAUACCUUUGCUCAUUGACGUUACCCGCAGAAGAAGCACCGGCUAACUCCGUGCCAGCAGCCGCGGUAA